rnacentral:tRNA from 1 species
GGGGUUGUGGCUCAGUGGUAGAGCACUUGCCUCUCACAUGCAAGGCCCAGGGUUUGAUCCUCAGCACCU